rnacentral:rRNA from 1 species
UACGUAGGCGGAAGAUUAAGUCAGUGGUGAAAUCCUGCAGCUUAACUGUAGAACUGUCAUUGAUACUGGUUUUCUUGAAUAUAGUUGAGGUAGGCGGAAUGUGUAAUGUAGCGGUGAAAUGCUUGGAUAUUACACAGAACACCGAUUGCGAAGGCAGCUUACUAAACUAUGAUUGACGCUGAUGUACGAAAGCGUGGGGAGCGAACAGGAUUAGAUACCCUGGUAGUCC